rnacentral:rRNA from 1 species
AUACGGAGGAUGCGAGCGUUAUCCGGAUUUAUUGGGUUUAAAGGGUGCGUAGGCGGGCUGGUAAGUCAGCGGUGAAACGCAGGUGCUCAACACCUGACCUGCCGUUGAAACUGCCGGUCUUGAAUGCGGAUGCUGUGGGAGGAAUGUGUGGUGUAGCGGUGAAAUGCAUAGAUAUCACACAGAACACCGAUUGCGAAGGCAUCUCACAAAUCCGUGAUUGACGCUGAGGCACGAAAGUGCGGGGAUCGAACAGGAUUAGAUACCCUGGUAGUCCGCACUGUAAACGAUGAUGACUCGCUGUCGGCGAUAGACAGUCGGUGGCCAAGCGAAAGCGAUAAGUCAUCCACCUGGGGAGUACGACCGCAAGGUUGAAACUCAAAUGAAUUGACGGGG